CCAGCCUCACCUGGGGUGUUCCACUCCCUCCAGGGUCUCAGAAUUUCAGCUCAGCCCUUUACAGCCCCCUGUUUGUUGACAGCACUGUAGGGCUGCUGGUGUCCAGCUCCUGGCCUGUCACCCUGCUGAAGUGGACUGGCCUGGGUAUGGUCCUCCAGGUUUGGUGACAGAGCUGUCCUGGCAGCAUGGAUCUGGCUGGCAGUCUCUAGAGGGUAUCUGGUUUUGACCCUGCCCUGCAGAACAUCCCCUAAGCUUGGCCCCCAGGCCUGUGUUGUUGCUAAGAGUGUAUCUGAUGCUGGGACUUGAGGCUGCCCUGCUCUCCCCACCAGCUGUUUUGUGGCUGGUCCUGAUCCUGCCUCUCUGUCCCACUAGAAGAAGACGUGGGUUAAUUGAGAGCAUGAAACUCACAUGUGAAAUGUGUUCAUCCUUGGUUUUGUCUAGCUGGAGAAGAGUCAACAAACCAGGAUGCACAAGAAAGAAAAGUAUCUGGAAGAGCAGAAGAGAACUGCAAGAUCUCAAGCCAUAACUGAGUCUCCUCAGCCUGCUAACAUGAGAGACCAAGGCAUUUGUGCCCUUCACUUUUGCUGCUUGUAACCAGGAGAAGGGAGAGAAUUGGUUUGUUUUUUUAACUUGAAAACCAAAGCUGAAGAUGAUGCACCAGACCAUACAGAACUGUCUGAGGGCUGCUUUGGUUUGGAGCAGUUCACCUCGCUGGUCCCUUGGGAAAGCUGCACUUCCUUCAAGUGGCUCUGCUCUUCUGCCUGCCACAGCAGGAGCACCAUGGAGACAUUCAUUUGUCAUUUUUUUUCCCCCCAGAAAUUCACUGCAUUGUUGAAAGUUUCUGGCCAUUAGGGAGGUCCAGAUCCAUAUGGGAGUUCUGGAAAAUUUUUGAGGUUCAGCUGUGAAUCCACCCUUGCCACCAGCAAAGGUGCUCUUGGUGCCAUUGGAGCCAAGAAGCAAUGCCUGAGCAAGGAGGAGUGGAGUGCAUGUGUAAGUCCCAGCCUGAAGCUCUGCUUUCCUUCAUUUCUAAUUGGCUGCUGCCUUCUUUUAAGACUGGUAACCUUAGAUCAGAGGGAAAAAGAGGAUUACUUUUAAGCAUGAUGAAAUUUAACUUGUAAUUGCUGUUUCCACAGCAGCCAAUUGAGAGGUAAGAGCAUAGCUUUACCAGGCAGCUUCUAAUCUCUAGGAUUUACAGAUGCUGAAAAUGAGCAGGAAAUCAGGACAGCAGUGACCUACCUGGAGUGCAAAUGCAACAACACUCACAGAUAUCCAUGCUAAAGACACAACAUUCAUAGCAAAUUUUAUCUCUCCUGUGCAACUUUGAAAAAUUUCAUGGUUUGAUGAUUGUGCCAGGUUUCACCUAGUAUUCAUCAGAUGCUGCAUUGUAUUUAAUGUCAGUUUUGGUAUCCCCCUGCUUGAUACAGGGUGCCACAAUAUAUUCCAUUGCUGGUAAGUUCCAACAGGGAGGCAGUAACUUAGGCAUUGACUGCUUCCCCUGACAUUUCAUGUUCCUGUAAAAUCAGCUA
rnacentral:lncRNA from 1 species